GUGAGAUGUGGAGCAUGUUAAGAAGCUUAAAACACAGUCUGCAUGAUUAAAUCGACCGAAGUUCUCCUUCAAGUUGCUGAGUGGCAGAACUGACUUGUUCCAGACCUGCUGGUCACUGUUGGUGCAUUUUAACUGAGAAAGAUCCAAAAAAGUCAUCUGUAGUGUUUUUAUCAUAGUGUGAGUUAUGCAGGUUCCAGCAGAACAUUAAACAGUGAUUGGAUCGUC